UUUAUUGUUUAUUAAGAGUAUUAUUUAUUUAUCAUAUUUUAGUAUAUGAGUUAACGAUUAAUUGAUAAUUUUUUGAUUUGUUAUGAAAAUGGAGGAAUUUUUUUUCUUAUUUUAAAGUGGUCUCAUUUUUAAAAAAUAAUUUUUACUCAUCUUUUUAGUUUCAAAUUUGAAUUUGUACCAACUAUAUUUUUUAUUUUAUAUAUAACUGUUGUAAUACAUAUGCAAUAAAUUAUUUUUUUUCUCAUAGUAUUACACUAAUAACCAAACUAAGCAUAAAUUUUAUGUUUUAUUAGAGACUUUGCUUUAUAUAUAUAUUUUGUAAUGGGCCAAAUCUGCCCUGGCCCAAUAACCAAAACUCAAACCCAUUUACAAUGGCCCAAAACCAAAACCUAAGUUUAGCCAAACAGCCAAACCCUAGCAGCAAGGAGCGUCGUAGCCCUAACCUCCAGCUCCUCCGUACGCCGUACACCUCUACGCACCACGCACACCUGCAAACAGACAAGAAAACAACAGCAAAUAGAAACAAAAACAACGGAAUAACAAAAAAAAGAGGGCUUGUAUUUUCAUUUUUGGUUAUUGUUCGGCAAAAAAGCCAAAAAACCUUUUCAUUGUAACGAACUACGAACGGAUACUACACAAAAAAAGAGCAAUUAAAUACAAAAAAGGAAUCAAGGUGAUUUUCUGAUUCAAAAUCUUGGAUUUUUUUAGUUUCAUUCGUCUGGGUUUUGUUGUUCUUAUAUUCGAAAGCAAAAUAGAAAAAGAAGAAGGAAAAGAGCGUCUUACUUGGGAAAUACGCCGUAGACCUCCUUCUGCUUUGUUGAAGUCGAAGCCAGGAGGAGACCUUGAGGCUAAAAACUCAUCCUCUGGACCUGAAGGGGUAGGUCGUUGCCUGGGGAAUGGGAAUCGGUGGCUUGAGUGGUGAUUUAGGGUUCAGCUGAACGAAGGAGAUAGAGGCUUUAGCUUUUUUUUUUUUUUUACUUUGAUUUGUUAAUGGGGGGUUAGGUGUCUGAUUUAGGUUUUUUUUUAGGGCUUAAUUCUGCAGAGUAUGAAACGGCGCCGUUUGGAGGAGGAGGAUCCGUGUGUCGGCCUGAUUCGUGGCCAGGAUCAUCGCCUCUUUACAUUAAAUGGUUAAUUUGGGCGAUUGGUCCCCUUUAUUUGUUGAUCCGUUCAAUUAAAGCAUGUUUAGAUUUCUUUGUUUUUUUUUUUAAAUUUUUCUUUGAGAUUUGCGCACUACUUCAAUUUAGUCUGCGCUUAAGCAUUUUGUUUUGGAAUUGGGACCAUUUUCAUUUUUAAUCCUCGGCCAUUUGAGCGCAUUGCGCUUUGGUCCUUUUAAUGGUUUAUUCUAUUUGUUAA
rnacentral:lncRNA from 1 species